GGAACAGUUGCACUAUGAGGGAGCCUUUUUCCUCUCCCACCUACGCUGGAAACAAUCGGGAUGCCAAGAAGAUGAUCAUCUGGGGAGACUUCAGGGCGGAAGUCUUUGCAUUAAGGACUGUAACUUCCAGUGGGAAAUGGCUUCCCUAGGUGCAUGCUUCCCCUUCUUGAAGAGGAACUGUGGGUGCAAAACGGGAGACCAAAGUUUGGCAAUCUAUCUCAUGUUCUGCAGAUGUCAUGUAGUGCCCUAUGGACAGAAGGAGCUAGGAUUCGUUUGUUUCUGAUCAGGCAAAAAAUAAUGCCCAAAAGGCUCCAGCUCCAACAUGUGUGAUAAUGUACAAGCAUAUAAUAGAGAGACAGUCCCUGCCCUGAAGAGUUUACAAUCUAAAAGACAAGAGAUCAAGAAACAGAUGGGGGAGCACAAGGUAAUAAUGUAUUAAAAUCCUUUAUGCAUCUUAUAUCAAGAAAGACAACCUAUGGAGUACAACCCAGCUCAGGAUGGAGAUGAGAAAAUAGUCCUGUUAGGACAACACAGAGACUUUCAUUCUUGCAUUUGGUGUCUACACACGAUGGAGAUUGGCAGUCUAGUUAGAUUAUUAAAACUUGGUUCUUGAUCAAACUUCAGGUACUCUGGUUACAGAUCCAUGACUAGUGUAAAUUGGUUUUGAGGCUACUUCCUAGCUGCUUGUUGCAGAGAGAGUUUACAUUCUCCUUUUCUACUUUGCAUUCUGCAAAAACAUCCUCAUUCCGUCAUGGGAGAUGCUUCAGUAUUUUUGAUAGAUGGACAUUCAUGAUGCCAGUGUGCUUCUGAUACACCACAAAUAAAUAUCCCAUAAACAGAGUUCCACAUGGGGAAUUGCCAGCCUCCACAGGAGAUUAAUAACAACGGAAAGAACAGCUUACCUGGUAUCACACCUCCAUAGUUAAUUGGCAGUACUAUUCCAGGAGAUGUCUGCCAGCACAUCCCAGUCACAGAGGAAGCAGGUUGGUGGUUUUUUAAUUAAUCUUAUAGAAGUCUUAAUCUGUGCUUAAUUAGACAUUCUUUACUCUUUCAUUUAUAGGGAGAUAGAUAACACCAGCACA